GUAUUCAUUGACAUUUCCAAGCCCCACCAGCUCACAUCCUCUCCACGUGUAUGGAAUAGACAUACAAAGGAGCCUUUCAAAUAUUUGUACCUGUCCAAACUAGCACGGAGUGAAGCUAUCCUAGCCUUUGUAAUUUGGUUUCAAGCCAUGGGGGAUAAAUACGCUUCAGCAAAUAUCAAGCCUGAAGUGGAGCGAUUGGACUGGAGCGAUCAGAGCAGCAGGAGGGGUGAGUGCAGGGGAAAUUGGCCUGAAAUAUUAUUCUUGGUUCUGCAGGAUUCAAGGUCAUGCCCUUCUGCAUCUGGGAGUCUCCAGAGAGGUCAUGAUGCCCUGCACCAGCUGUUCCUGGAUGUGCAAACAGUGGCCAUUUUUUUAAACAUGAAUAUUUUGUUUAUGAUUUAAUAUUAACUGGAAACCAUAUAUCAACUUACCAUUGAGCCAUGGGAAGUUUUUCUAUUAUCUUUAGUAUUGUAGCAGUUUCUGAAGAAGAAAAAGAACAUUUUUUUUUUCUUGGACUCUUAGUAGCCAAAAAAGCAGAUCAGAUCCAGAAUCUUCUAACAGGAUCUGCCUUUAGCUGUUACAAUUUAAAUCUGAUAGGCUAAAGUUUUCAGUUCUGUUCCUAAGCUGUAGAGCCUUUAGGAGACAGCCCAGCUGGUGGAAGAGGGGUAGUUACUAGGGGUCCACCUUUGAGGAGGACACCAGUUCCUGCUGCUAGCUUUUGUACUUUCCCUUGAUGGGUGUGGUGGUUUGGAUGAGAAGUAUCCCUUCCGGGCCCAGGGCUUUGCACACUUGGUCCGUAGUUAGUAACUCUGUUCCAGGAGGUUAUGGGGAGGUGCAGCCUUGCAGGAGGAAGCUCAUCGCUUUGAGAGGACACGAGCUCCACCCAUUUCUAGCUCUCUCUCUCUCUCUCUUUCUCUCUCCCUCUCUCUCUCUCCUUGCUGUUUUAGGUUGAUGUUGUGAUCUCUCAGCUUCCUCCUCCAGUCACAUACAGCCACUGUUUCUCCACAAUAUGGAUUCUUCCUUUGAAACCAUAAGUUCCAAUAAACUAUUUCUUCCUUAAAUUGCCUUUGGUCACGGUACUGUAUCACAGCAACAAAAAUGUAACAGAGACAGAUGGUACCAAGCAAAUGAGCCACAACCUCGCCUCCCAACUCUGCACACAGAACUCACUAAUCUCUACCCUCAUUGUCGUGAGGGACUAACAGCUGCCCCACCAGACCAUGAACUAAAGUCAGCGUUUCCUCCUUUGAGCUGUGUCUGUCAGGAGCCUUGGACACAGCAGUGGAAAAGCUGCCAAUACACCACCAAGAAAUGUUUUGCCACAAGCCUUAUGAUUACAUUUUACAUAAAAACUGGAGCAUGGCUUCUUGUGGUUGAGUUUGGUUACAUGGACAACCUUCUUUUGGGAUGUCUCUCCUCAUUGCCCCCAAAUUAACUAUAUAGGGAAGGAACUCCAGAUAGGAAGCUGAUUUGCAGCCAACACAAAAAUAUGAAGAAUAAUGUUUUUGAAUGUUUAACAUAAACCGUGUGAACAGACAGGGAGCUAUGGAAACAUCCACUCCAGAUUGUUAGCAUGAGUCAGCAUGUGGAGGAGGUCGGGUAAAAUUAGUGUGUAUGGAGGAAAGUUAUUCGCUCUCCUCCUUGUGUAUGUCUGUAUUGUUGUUCUUUUAAAAAUGAAAAUAGUUUUGAAGUGAAAUUGGCAAGUUGUUAUUUUUAGGAAAUUAACUGGCAGUUUUUUUAAAAUCUUCCCUAUGAGAUUAUAGGCUAUUAAUAUGAGAAAAUGAUAAUAUAAUCUAGGAGGAAGAUACAUAUUUUCAACUUGCUUAGAAGUUGGGAGUGAUGCCUGAUUUCUAUAAGAGAAAGUGACUUUCUCCAACACAGUGGGAAUGACCCCUGCCCCAGCUCCUGAAAUCAAGGAAGGCUGACUCCUGCAUGCAAUGGGAUAAAGGGGUUCAACUAGGAAUAUCCAUCGACCACACUUCUUUCUACGCAAGCAGGCUCUUGUCAGAGGCAGUGGCAAAGAUGUCCUGGCAUAGCCGAGCUCCCAGGCUGGCACAUAUAGUAGGCAAAUGUCACCAUAACCAGUCUACCCUGCAGUAAGAGCUUGCAGAGAACGGCAACAUGAGAGGAACAACCAACCCAGACAGAGCCUGGAUAUGGUAGGGCUGACCUGAGAGCAGCAGGAACCUGCCUUGCUGGCAUCAGGCCUGGACUGUGGGUAGACAGAAGAAUCAUGGGUGAGUCUGAGCUGAUUUCCCACAGGAGGUCUGGUGAACCCUUAUUCUUUGUGAUACCAUUCUCCUAUCCAGUAAUGCCACUCUUUCAUCUGCAGAACGGGGAAGCAAGCCUUCCAUCCUGGCUCUCAGCCUGAACAGUUCAGACACAUAUUUUCUAUUCCUCCUACUGCUGACUUCUAAUUUCUCUUCUUUUGCUUAAUUUUCGAAGAACAGGUUUGUUUUCUGUUUUCAGAUGAUUUAAUAUUGAGUUCUGCAACUUACCUCCCUUCUACUUUUCUUGGAUUUAUUUUGAAAUUAUUUUCUCAAUAUUCUGAGGUGAAUGCUUAGAUCAAAUAUUUGUAUUCCUUCUUGUUUAAUAGCACAGGUAGUAGAGGUCUUAUGAAUUUUAUGUUGAAUAAAACUUUGAGUACAUCUAAUAAGUUUUUGAUGCAAAAUUGCUUUUAUCCUUGUUGCCAGCAUAGUGUGUGAUUGCUUUCCUUUUUCUCUCUGGUCUAGAAACAAGUGGUUUCAAGUGGUUUUCAUUUAAAAGCCCAAAGGACUUCAAUUUAACCUAUUUUUUAAUUCUUAAUGUUUAUGAAUGUAUUCCUUGUCAGUUCCUAUUUUUUAAAUGUGUUGAGAUUUUCUUCAUAAUAUAUUGCAACCUCAAAUACUUUAUUUGAAAAGAAUAACAUUCUCCAUAGAGAAAGUUCAGUAAAAUAUUUGUUAUUUAUUCAUUUUAUGUGUAUGGUUGUUUUGUUUAUGUGUGUACCUGUGUACUAUGUGUGUUCCUGUUGACCAUGUCCAGAAGAGGACAUAAGAUCCCCUGUAUAUAUGUAGGUGAUGGGAAUAGAACCUGGAUCCUGGAAAAGUAGUUAUUGGUCUUACAUCUGAAUCAUAUCUCCAGCCUCUGGUUAUCUGUUUUUUACCUUAGUGCCAAGGGUCUGAGUUAAUAACACUCCUAGUUUCAUAAGACAAUGUUAUUAGUACAAGACAGGUUUUCCUCUUUAAGCUAAUCUGCAUUAAUCUACUUUAUUUCCAACAUAUUAAUUCUUCUCUUUGUUGCAAAUUAUAUAUUCUUGUAAAAUAAGUCUCUGCAUUGUAUGUGUGUUCAUUACAUUUCCAUCUUAUUAAGUUAUUGGUUUAAUUACAUUUCUUACCUUUUCUGACUCAACAGUCCUUUAAGAUCUGUCUGCUUUUGUUUGCCUGUUUUGAGACAAGAUCUGUCUUGCUUCCAACUCACUCUGUAGCUUAAGACAACCUUGAUAUUCUGAUUCUCCUGUAGGUAUAUCUGAGUCACUGGGACUACUGUUAUGUGCCACCACAUCUGGUCUUAGAUCUAUCUGUAUAUGUCUUUUCUUUAUUAGUGCACCACACAAUUUACUGUGUAUCUAUCAUGUGGCAUGUGCAUUAGACCCAGAGUGUGCCAACUCUGCACUUCCACAAACAACUGUGGGAAACUACCACAGUCAAGUCCCUUUCUGCACCCUCACUAAAACUUCUCUGGGUCAGAAUUCUAAAGCUACAUGGGCAAUUCCUGUAGUUCAUGUCUGUUCUAGACAAGGCAGACAUUUAACCUCAACUUUGGGUUCCACAAAAUAUCAACUGUGACAACCAAAAAAUAACUUCAAAUACAGUGAAGUGUCCUAUGGGAGUAAAAUUUACAAAACUGAGAGAUACCCUCCUUAAGAGCUCCUUCCUAAAAGCUAGUGUGCAUCUGAAAUUCUAAUAUGUGGGACCAUGUCCCUGACACCCUCGGGGAGGAACUGUUGCUUUUAUUGGCUUUGAUU
rnacentral:lncRNA from 1 species